rnacentral:rRNA from 1 species
GAAGCUGCGGCAGCGACGCUGAUGCGUUGUUGGGUAGGGGAGCGUUCUGUAAGCCUGCGAAGGUGGCCUGUGAGGGUUGCUGGAGGUAUCAGAAGUGCGAAUGCUGACAUAAGUAACGAUAAAGCGGGUGAAAAGCCCGCUCGCCGGAAGACCAAGGGUUCCUGUCCAACGUUAAUCGGGGCAGGGUGAGUCGACCCCUAAGGCGAGGCCGAAAGGCGUAGUCGAUGGGAAACGGGUUAAUAUUCCCGUACUUGGUGUUACUGCGAAGGGGGGACGGAGAAGGCUAUGUUGGCCGGGCGACGGUUGUCCCGGUUUAAGCGUGUAGGUGUGUGUUCCAGGUAAAUCCGGUUCACUUUAACACUGAGGCGUGACGACGAGGCACUACGGUGCUGAAGCAACAAAUGCCCUGCUUCCAGGAAAAGCCUCUAAGCAUCAGGUAACAUCAAAUCGUACCCCAAACCGACACAGGUGGUCAGGUAGAGAAUACCAAGGCGCUUGAGAGAACUCGGGUGAAGGAACUAGGCAAAAUGGUGCCGUAACUUCGGGAGAAGGCACGCUGACACGUAGGUGAAGUGAUUUACUCAUGGAGCUGAAGUCAGUCGAAGAUACCAGCUGGCUGCAACUGUUUAUUAAAAACACAGCACUGUGCAAACACGAAAGUGGACGUAUACGGUGUGACGCCUGCCCGGUGCCGGAAGGUUAAUUGAUGGGGUCAGCGCAAGCGAAGCUCCUGAUCGAAGCCCCGGUAAACGGCGGCCGUAACUAUAACGGUCCUAAGGUAGCGAAAUUCCUUGUCGGGUAAGUUCCGACCUGCACGAAUGGCGUAAUGAUGGCCAGGCUGUCUCCACCCGAGACUCAGUGAAAUUGAACUCGCUGUGAAGAUGCAGUGUACCCGCGGCAAGACGGAAAGACCCCGUGAACCUUUACUAUAGCUUGACACUGAACAUUGAGCCUUGAUGUGUAGGAUAGGUGGGAGGCUUUGAAGUGUGGACGCCAGUCUGCAUGGAGCCGACCUUGAAAUACCACCCUUUAAUGUUUGAUGUUCUAACGUGGACCCGUGAUCCGGGUUGCGGACAGUGUCUGGUGGGUAGUUUGACUGGGGCGGUCUCCUCCUAAAGAGUAACGGAGGAGCACGAAGGUUGGCUAAUCCUGGUCGGACAUCAGGAGGUUAGUGCAAUGGCAUAAGCCAGCUUGACUGCGAGCGUGACGGCGCGAGCAGGUGCGAAAGCAGGUCAUAGUGAUCCGGUGGUUCUGAAUGGAAGGGCCAUCGCUCAACGGAUAAAAGGUACUCCGGGGAUAACAGGCUGAUACCGCCCAAGAGUUCAUAUCGACGGCGGUGUUUGGCACCUCGAUGUCGGCUCAUCACAUCCUGGGGCUGAAGUAGGUCCCAAGGGUAUGGCUGUUCGCCAUUUAAAGUGGUACGCGAGCUGGGUUUAGAACGUCGUGAGACAGUUCGGUCCCUAUCUGCCGUGGGCGCUGGAGAACUGAGGGGGGCUGCUCCUAGUACGAGAGGACCGGAGUGGACGCAUCACUGGUGUUCGGGUUGUCAUGCCAAUGGCACUGCCCGGUAGCUAAAUGCGGAAGAGAUAAGUGCUGAAAGCAUCUAAGCACGAAACUUGCCCCGAG